AUUGUCCAAAAGAGUGGAUUACAUAUUCCAAAAAUUGCUAUUACAUUAGCACUGAAAGAAAAUCAUGGAAUGAGAGUCGGUUGUCCUGUGCUUCUAAGAGCUCUACCCUGCUCUCCAUAGAGGAUGAAGAGGAAAUGUAUUUGUUGAGCUUCUUAAUUCGUUCUUCAUGGAUUAGGAGAGAUUCCCAGAACAUCAGUAUUAAUUCAUCUGUGUGGCCAAAAGUCUCCACCUCCUUUCCUAAAGUGUCAUCAGUUUCUUCAGAGAGUGACGAGAAGUGUCCCUUUUUCAACUCUUACUCAAAUAAAACUUCUUUCGAAUCCUGCUUGGAUCAAAAAAUAUAUAUUUGUAAGCUCAGGCAUUUUAGUUACCUAAUUUUGGUAUAAU